rnacentral:tRNA from 1 species
GGUUCGAUGGCGAAAUUGGUGAUACGCGACAGACUUAAAAUCUGUUGUUCCGGAAGGAACGUGGGGGUUCGAAUCCCCUUCGAACUA